rnacentral:rRNA from 1 species
CUCGGAAUCACUGGGCGUAAAGCGCACGUAGGCGGAUUGUUAAGUCAGGGGUGAAAUCCUGGAGCUCAACUCCAGAACUGCCUUUGAUACUGGCGAUCUUGAGUCCGGGAGAGGUGAGUGGAACUGCGAGUGUAGAGGUGAAAUUCGUAGAUAUUCGCAAGAACACCAGUGGCGAAGGCGGCUCACUGGCCCGGUACUGACGCUGAGGUGCGAAAGCGUGGGGAGCAAACAGG